CCCGGGAGCGCCGCAUCUUCGGCAGUGCUGGUGCGGGGUUGUUCUCCGGCUGGAUGUGUGGAAAUACACCAGCUCCGGUAUCAAGGCUUCUCUGCUGUUUACGCUGUGUCAUAAAACAAAUGGCACUGCUAUUAACUGGAAAAUCUGGUCUAGCAUACAUGAUGUGCAUUUAGAGUGACAGUUCUGUACCUUGAUCUACACUUAGUGGUGCCACUCUGAAUGGAGCAUCUGGUAGAACAAGUCUUCCUUAGGACAUAUGAGGAAGAAACUGCAUGCUCUGAUGCCAGGCAAACUCAUGCAUGCUGUAUCACGGGCACCUGAUGAAGGAGGUGCUUUCCUGUAGCUCCUGUUUCACAGCUGAUAAAUUCUGCUUGAUGCAGGUGAUAAUGAAUUGCAGAUUUUCAAGUUUUAUCAGCAUUCUCAUCUGUUAAAAUGUCAUGUUCAGAUCUGUGGGCACUGUUUGUAAGUUGGUUUAAGGCUUCUUAGUGCUUCCUAGUUGAUUUUUUUAAAAUAGCUAUAAUGUUAAACCAGGUAACCUGAUUAAUCUGUCAGAAUUUGAAAAUGUGUUCUAAAAAUGGCCCAUGGUAUAAGCAAUUUAUGUUGCCAUUUGUUCCUUUGAAUGUUCUUCAGUUAAUGAUAGAUGGCUUUAUUUUAAUGUGCCAAGAAAUAUCAAUGCAGAAAUAGCUACUGGAAUUUGAUGGCUCAGUCACAGACAAAUUUAUCAAAUAGGCUAAAGCAGUUGAGUUUGAUCCCAAAUAUCCUAAGUAUUCAUGUAUGAGGGUAUUAAUAUAUGAUGGAAUUGAUUAUGGUAAUGUUUAGCAGAUUUUGAUAGUCCAUCUUCACAUGUUUUUUAAGAAGGAAAUACAUAUUGUCCAUACUGUAUUAUGAGUAUUACAGGGUAACUGUAGAUACUCUUAAUAUUUUUCAUGCAAGUUCUUUGGCUUCAAGAUUACAAAUAACAGGGACCAAGUUAAGGCUUGUUAUGUUUUUAGAAAGUCUAACAGAUAAAAGCAAAGCAUGGGAACAAACUGAAGGAGUUAUCACAGUUAUUUAAAACCCCAGAGCAGAACUGUUGCCUGAGAUUAGGUCUCAUCCCAGAAUAGCCAAACAGAGGAAGCUGUAUCUUCUGCUGCAGUUGCAGAGAGGUCACUUGUGUGCCUGGGAUAAAGGUCCUGUCCUCUCCAGGACACCCAG